rnacentral:rRNA from 1 species
AAGGCCCAGCUUGCUGGGUACUCGAGUGGCGAACGGGUGAGUAACACGUGGGUGAUCUGCCCCUGACUUUGGGAUAAGCCUGGGAAACUGGGUCUAAUACCGGAUAUUCAUUUUUCCUCGCAUGGGGAUUUGUGGAAAGCUUUUGCGGUUAGGGAUGGGCCCGCGGCCUAUCAGCUUGUUGGUGGGGUAAUGGCCUACCAAGGCGACGACGGGUAGCCGACCUGAGAGGGUGAUCGGCCACACUGGGACUGAGACACGGCCCAGACUCCUACGGGAGGCAGCAGUGGGGAAUAUUGCACAAUGGGCGCAAGCCUGAUGCAGCGACGCCGCGUGAGGGAUGACGGCCUUCGGGUUGUAAACCUCUUUCAGCUCCGACGAAGCGCAAGUGACGGUAGGAGCAGAAGAAGCACCGGCCAACUACGUGCCAGCAGCCGCGGUAAUACGUAGGGUGCAAGCGUUGUCCGGAAUUACUGGGCGUAAAGAGCUCGUAGGCGGUUUGUCGCGUCGUCUGUGAAAUUCUGCAGCUUAACUGCAGGCGUGCAGGCGAUACGGGCAGACUUGAGUACUACAGGGGAGACUGGAAUUCCUGGUGUAGCGGUGAAAUGCGCAGAUAUCAGGAGGAACACCGGUGGCGAAGGCGGGUCUCUGGGUAGUAACUGACGCUGAGGAGCGAAAGCGUGGGUAGCGAACAGGAUUAGAUACCCUGGUAGUCCACGCCGUAAACGGUGGGUACUAGGUGUGGGUUUCAU